rnacentral:rRNA from 1 species
CCCUUAGAUGUUCUGGGCAGCACGCGCGCUGCAAUGGUCUUCGCAAACGGAUGCAUUCUCGAAGGAGAAUGCCAAUCUUGGAAUCUAUGCCUUGGUCGGGGCAGUUGCUUGCAAUUUUUCGACUCGAACCAGGAAUUCCUUGUAAUCGUGAUUCAUCACAUCACGAUGAAUACGUCCCUGCCCUUUGUACACACCGCCCGUCGCUCCUACCGAUCGAAGAGUUAGGUGAAUUGUUUUGAUCGAUAAGAUUUGACUAUGGUCAACUCUCGUUGUGAAAUUCUGUGAAUCUGACUGUUUAGAGGAAGGAAAAGUCGUAACA